CCCUUAGAUGUUCUGGGCCGCACGCGCGCUACACUGAUACGCUCAACGAGCUCCUUGGCCGAAAGGUCCGGGUAAUCUUUGAAAUCGUAUCGUGAUGGGGAUAGAACAUUGCAAUUUUUGUUCUUCAACGAGGAAUGCCUAGUAAGCGCGAGUCAUCAGCUCGCGCUGAUUACGUCCCUGCCCUUUGUACACACCGCCCGUCGCUACUACCGAUUGAAUCGUUUAGCGAGAAUUUUGGAUCGGAGCCCUGGUGGGCAGCGAUGUCCGCCUGGGAUUUACCGAGAAAUCAUUCCAGCUUGCCGAUUUAGAGGAAGUAAAAGUCGUAACA
rnacentral:rRNA from 1 species